CUGAUGGCUUCGCUGUCUUCUGUAAAAAUUGCUAUGAGAGAACUUUUCACUCACUGUUUUGCAGUUUCUCCCUCAGUCCCUGGUUCUUUCUUCUCACAUAAUCCCAAUUUCAAUUUAUAGUUCAUGGCCCAGGCAGAGUCAUUCAUCACGGCAUCUCCUGAGCUAAACCAGCACCUGCUCUGCUCACUUCUUGACUGGCUGCUCAUCAUCAGCCCUCUGCAGAGAUUUCAUUUCCUCCGUGCCAGUAGCCAUCGACCCUCUGAUGAGGAUGCCCCCUCCAACAGGCACCGCCAGGCAGCCCUGCCUGGAGACCCAGAGGCACCGAGUCACAUUUGCUCUGCACACCUGGCUCUCGCUUGAUGUGGGCCUGUGUGCUACAGCCCGGAACACAAAAGAAGACACCCAUGCAAAUACCAUUAAAAGUUUAUUGUUUUAUUUCA
ensembl:lncRNA novel transcript, antisense to MBP